GUGCACUUGCUUGGGGAACUUCUGCUGUCACAUGGUGAACAGUGGUCUGUUGUGUUCUUGUGCUCAGCACAGACCUGUUUGUAUUGAAUUCUCAGCCAGACCCUGUUAAUGAGAAUUCAGCUCCUCUGUGCAGGAACUCAGCAGAGCUGGCACAAACAGAAACCUGGGGGCUCCACCAAGAAACCUUGUGCCGCACAAAAUCUGGUCUACAGCCUUCCCUGUAAAAGCCAUCAUCACCCACUUCUGUGGCUGCAACCUGCCCAAGGCUGGAACCAGUUCCUGGAAAUUUAAUAGGUUGUAGGGAGAGUCACGGAGACUGAUGACCCCCAUUUAAUGACAAAUAGGAACAACAUUGGGAUCUCACAGAGGCUGCUCCUUGCUGAUUAAACAACUGCUCCAAGCUCAGCUGAGAUGGCUCAUUUGUAAGCCUGAGAUGGGAAUUCAGCUUUCAAGUUCACUUAGUCUUUGGUGUGUCUACCUAGCCUCAAAGCACAGGCUCCAGUAUAGUUCAAGAUCUGUGCACAAGUUCUGCACAUGGUGGGGGUGAGCCGCAAGAUCCUGCCCGCUGCAGCAGGGAGUUGGGCACUUUAGGCAGCCCCAGAAACAAACCCAGACCCCAGCACCACAGCCUUUAUCCCCUGGCCCCAGGACAAUGCUCACAUUGAAGAAAUGAGAUACCACAUCACAGGAAAAUGAAUCACAAUGAUGAGAGCGACUGGUUUUGAUGCUGGCUGCGUGCACAAGGACAAAGAGCAGUGUCAGGACACAAUAAUGAGCCUGGAUCUCACAGCGUGGCACAUUAGCAGAGGGAAUUGUGCAAGGUGAUGCUUGAUGCAUCUGCUUGAGAAGGAAUGUAUGGGCCGUGGCUCUUCACACCAGCUACUCAGUUCUAGCAAAAAUCUGCUCUUCACUUGCAAAGCCAUGUGUGAGCUUGAAUGGCUGGAGCAACGAGCAGCACAGAAAUUGUUACUGUGUCCAGGAUUUCCAGCUCCACUUUCACGGCAGAAGAGUUUAAUAUUUCUUUCUAAAUUCCUCUUAUACCUUUUUUUCCUUUAUAACAGCACAGUAAUCCAUCUCAUACCUAUUCAUCCUUCUGAUUAUUCUCCUUGUCAGCUAUUUGUACAUUUUUACCUUUUGUAGGAAUGCCACAUGAAAGAAUAAACUAAAUAAUAGAGAACAUUAA